GGCGGCGGCAGCGGGGGUCGGGCGGGAUAGUUUACCUGAGCACUGGUCCUACGGGGUCUGCAGGGACGGCCGAGUCUUCUUUAUCGAUGACCAACGCCGCUGUACCACCUGGUUGCACCCACGCACCGGGGAGCCCGUCAACUCGGGCCACAUGAUCCGUUCAGAUCUGCCCCGCGGCUGGGAGGAAGGCUUCUCCGAGGAAGGCGCCAGCUACUUCAUCGAGUGAGUCCCGGGGGCCCGCUAUUGUGCGCCGGGGGUGGGGAGGGGGCGGCCGGGGAGGAAGUAGUGCUGGGGUGUGGGGGGGCGGCUGGAGCUCUGGACCGCAUCGAGGCCGCCCUGCUGGACUUUGGCCAGCCCCGCCCGCACCUGGGCGCCCUGGAGAGCGCCUCUGCCCACCCGGGG